GUGCUACUGCAACCGCGCUGAACAGGUUUAAGUACCUUUAUAGGUCACCUGCAAUUCCGGGCGAGUCUGAGUCUAAGA
rfam:Solibacillus silvestris StLB046 DNA, complete genome.